UACGUAGGGGGCAAGUGUUGUCCGGAUUUAUUGGGCGUAAAGAGCGUGUAGGCGGCCAUACAGGUCAGCUGUGAAAACUCGAGGCUCAACCUCGAGACGUCGGUUGAAACCGUUUGGCUAGAGUCCGGAAGAGGAGAGUGGAAUUCCCGGUGUAGCGGUGAAAUGCGCAGAUAUCGGGAAGAACACCCGUGGCGAAGGCGGCUCUCUGGGACGGUACUGACGCUGAGACGCGAAAGCGUGGGGAGCGAACAGG
rnacentral:rRNA from 1 species